rnacentral:snRNA from 1 species
GUGCGCACUUGGGCAGCACAUACACUACAACUGGGAUGAUACCGACAAAAUUUGCAUGGCCUCUGAGCGAGGGUGACAUGCAAAUUUGUGAAGCGUUCCAUAUUUUC